AUUGAACGCUGGCGGCAUGCUUUACACAUGCAAGUCGAACGGCAGCGCGGGCUUCGGCCUGGCGGCGAGUGGCGAACGGGUGAGUAAUGCAUCGGAACGUGCCCAGUAGUGGGGGAUAGCCCGUCGAAAGCCGGAUUAAUACCGCAUACGACCUGAGGGUGAAAGCGGGGGACCGAAAGGCCUCGCGCUCUUGGAGGGGCCGAGGUCGGAUUAGCUAGUUGGUGGGGUAAAGGCUUACCAAGGCGACGAUCCGUAGCUGGUCUGAGAGGACGACCAGCCACACUGGGACUGAGACACGGCCCAGACUCCUACGGGAGGCAGCAGUGGGGAAUGUUGGACAAUGGGGGCAACCCUGAUCCAGCCAGGCCGCGUGCGGGAAGAAGGCCUUCGGGUUGUAAACCGCUUUUGUUCGGGAAGAAAUCCUCUGGGCUAAUACCCCGGGGGGAUGACGGUACCGGAAGAAUAAGCACCGGCUAACUACGUG
rnacentral:rRNA from 1 species